rnacentral:sRNA from 1 species
GGGCGGAGAGGGCUACCAUGGGGGUGAGGGGAGGCCGCCCGCCGCGGGGACACGGAGGGGAGGUGGCGAGGGUCUGGGAGGCAACAGCUCGCGCCAGGAGGAGAUGAAGCGAGUGGGUGCGCGCUGAAGGAGCAGGAGGCAGAAGGAGUGUCUCCCUGUGGCACCCACGGCUGGGAAUGCGGGAGGGUCGGGCAGGCGUGGGGCUGCGCAGGCACAGCUGACGCAGUCGCUCUGGCCCUCCCCCUCAGAAAAUCGCGCUGCAACUCAAAGCCACGCUGGAGAACAUCACCAACCUCCGGCCCGUGGGCGAGGACUUCCGGUGGUACCUGAAGAUGAAAUGUGGCAACUGUGGUGAGAUUUCGGACAAGUGGCAGUACAUCCGGCUGAUGGACAGUGUGGCACUGAAGGGGGGCCGUGGCAGUGCUUCCAUGGUCCAGAAGUGCAAGCUGUGUGCAAGAGAAAAUUCCAUCGAGAUUUUAAGCAGCACCAUCAAGCCUUACAAUGCUGAAGACAAUGAGAACUUCAAGACAAUAGUGGAGUUUGAGUGCCGGGGCCUUGAACCAGUUGAUUUCCAGCCGCAGGCUGGGUUUGCUGCUGAAGGUGUGGAGUCAGGGACAGCCUUCAGUGACAUUAAUCUGCAGGAGAAGGACUGGACUGACUAUGAUGAAAAGGCCCAGGAGUCUGUGGGAAUCUAUGAGGUCACCCACCAGUUUGUGAAGUGCUGAUCCCUCUUCCUUCCCAGUUGCCCUUAAGAACUGAGAAAGGACAAAGUACUCUAAGCAGCAAACCCCACAGAGGCUCGUUCCUUUGACCCUUGUCUCCUGGUGGCUAUACAAAACCUUCACAAUCUGCAUGCUGGACUUUAUUACAGCUUCCCAAGCCCCAUCAAUAAAGCCCCUGUUCAUGCUGCACUGGUGCAUGAAGGUGAAGUAAGGAGGCAGCUACUCCCUCCACAAAUAAGAAUUCGUGCAGCAGCAGUUCACUCCUUAGGAAAAUGAAGAGUAUUUUU